CAAAACAUUAUUCACAAGGCUCACGCAUCAAUGCAUAUUUAUGGUGGCAACUACAUGUAGGAGCGAAUUAUAUUAAUCCAGGUAACGAGAUAAAGUAGCAUGUAUUUACCUCAAUCUAUCUUAUUU